rnacentral:rRNA from 1 species
AUUGAACGCUGGCGGAAUGCUUUACACAUACAAGUCGAACGGCAGCACGGACUUCGGUCUGGUGGCGAGUGGCGAACGGGUGAGUAAUGUAUCGGAACGUGCCCAGUCGUGGGGGAUAACGUAGUGAAAAUUACGCUAAUACCGCAUACGAUCUAUGGAUGAAAGCGGGGGAUCGCAAGACCUCGCGCGAUUGGAGCGGCCGAUAUCAGAUUAGGUAGUUGGUGGGGUAAAGGCCCACCAAGCCAACGAUCUGUAGCUGAGCUGAGAGGACGACCAGCCAAACUGGAACUGAGAGACGGUCCAGACUCCUACGGGAGGCAGCAGUGGGGAAUUUUGGACAAUGGGCGAAAGCCUGAUCCAGCCAUUCCGCGUGCAGGAUGAAGGCCCUCGGGUUGUAAACUGCUUUUGUACAGAACGAAAAGGUUUCUACUAAUACUAGGAGCUCAUGACGGUACUGUAAGAAUAAGCACCGGCUAACUACGUGCCAGCCGCCGCCGUAA